rnacentral:misc_RNA from 1 species
UGGUUGAGCUGUGAGAAAUAAAUUCUAUGAAUCACUGAGGGAUUUUUAUAGCAGUGUUUUUACGAGUGUUUUAAAACGGUUUGCCGUUUCAAUACAUUGAAUACAAGUUCCCUUAUUUAUUAUGGUAGAUGAUUGGUUGGUGUCUACAUUUUUCUCUGUUCGUUCAAGAAAAUAUUGUGGUUUCUCAAAUAUUUGUUGAUCAGUGAUAGACUUCUG